rnacentral:miRNA from 10 species
ACGGGAUCUCAGUGGGCAUUGU